UACGUAGGGGGCAAGCGUUGUCCGGAAUCAUUGGGCGUAAAGCGCGUGUAGGCGGCUCGGUAAGUCCGCUCUGAAAGUCCGGGGCUCAACCCCGGGAGGCGGGUGGAUACUGUCGAGCUAGAGUCCGGAAGAGGCGAGUGGAAUUCCUGGUGUAGCGGUGAAAUGCGCAGAUAUCAGGAGGAACACCAAUAGCGAAGGCAGCUCGCUGGGACGUUACUGACACUGAGGCGCGAAAGCGUGGGGAGCGAACAGG
rnacentral:rRNA from 1 species